rnacentral:tRNA from 1 species
GCCGACGUAGCUCAGCUGGCAGAGCAGCUCACUCGUAAUGAGCAGGUCGAGGGUUCGAUUCCCUCCGUCGGCU